rnacentral:rRNA from 1 species
UGGUUUCUAGUCGAAAAGGCGUUGAAACCAUGCUUUUCGACGUCGCCUAAGGAUGGGGCCGCACCUGAUCAGGUUGUUGGUGGGGUAACGGCUCACCAAGCCUAUAACCGGUACGGGCCGUGAGAGCGGGAGCCCGGAGAUGGGCACUGAGACAAGGGCCCAGGCCCUACGGGGCGCAGCAGUCGCGAAAACUCCGCAAUGCGCGAAAGCGUGACGGGGCUACCCCGAGUGCCGUCCGCUGAGGAUGGCUUUUCCCCGGUGUAAUGAGCCGAGGGAAUAAGGAGAGGGCAAGACUGGUGUCAGCCGCCGCGGUAAUACCAGCUCUCCGAGUGGUAGGGAUGAUUAUUGGGCUUAAAGCGUCCGUAG